UUAGUGGUCUUAUAAACCCCAAAGGGCUCCCUAACCUUUUCUGCCAUGUAAAGAUGCAGACCUCACACACAGCUGUCCAUGAGCCAGGAAGCCCUCACCAAACAUGGAAUCUGUUGGUGCCAUAAUCUUGAAAUUUCCAGCCUCCGGAACUAAUAUCUCAUAACACUGUAUUUACAUGGCCCACACUGCCAGAAAUGCUGACUGGCAGAGUACUGUUUAGCAAUGGAUAAAUACUCA